GGAGGUGUGGAGGCAGCAGCAGAAGCCAUUAGCCCCUAACCCUAACCAGUCGUGUCUCUCGCCCCCAGACGUUGCCUCCGCUAUUGCGCGUGUAGCAGUUGUGCCCUGCACCUCGCCCUUGCAAUAGGUGCACCCCUGCCAUGGCGGAUUCACCCCCAUCUCCUGUCGCCUCAGCCCGCGCUGCCAUCUCUUCUGCUCUCCCCCGCCUCUCUAGUUUGGAGCUCUUCUUCGGGCGGCAGAGGACGACACUGAGUCCUGGAUUCGUGACCCAUCGACUCCCCGCCCGCUAGAUUUGUCGGGAAGGACGUCGGCUACGUCAACCGCCAUCGACAGAGUACAUCCUCGUAUACUGAGCCAGAAGAGACGAACUUGAAUGAGGCGACGACAAAUCGGUGGUAGUGCAACGCUGGAGAAGACGAACACCCUGCCACCAAGUCUGCUCCCCGAGAUUCCAAAGAUGUGUCGAGUCUAGUGUCUAGGUUCAUUCCACACGAAAUGGACCAAGCUGGCGAGGAGGAGCAAUGGCGCAGCCAUUUGAGGAAUUGAUUGGUAUGAGCAGGUUUGUUUGCUGCUUUGGGUGAUUUCUCUCUGUUGGUUCUGUUUCAUUUUACUAUUAUUAUCUUUAUGCUUCUAGAUCCAAGUUGUCUACUUCGAAUAAUGUUGUACUGUAUGGUUGGCAAGUGAAGAACAUUGUGUAGCUUUAGUUUUACUAUGAUGUAGGUACACACGGUUUUGACACUCUUAUUUUUGGUAUGCAACUGCUAUGAUGCCUCUCAAAUCCCAAUGUUGUGUCUUUUAAAGAUUUAUCUAAAAUAUGUUGAAAUUACUACCAAGAGUACUAAGUUUUUCAUCAUUUGUCUGAAACAUGUUGAAAUUGCUACUAAGAGUAGUGAGUGUUGCAUCAUAGCCUCUCAAAUCAAUGGUGUCUUUAAAGAAUGGUAUGACAUGUGUAGAAAUUGCUACUACAAUUGAGGUCCUAGUGCACCAGUAUUGAUGGUAACUUUGUCAAAUUGAUUGAGAUGCGGACGUUUGUGUUAGCAUGGUGCCAUGGUUUGCUCAAUGAAAGUUGUUGCAGUUACUAGUAAGUUCACCUUGUGUUAAAUUCUGAAAAUUAACAGUCACAGUACUAAAUCUAUCAUGUAAAACCUGCUUGAAGCCUUGAACCAUUUCCUAUUUAUAUUAGUGUGUCAUGGUUUUGUCACUUUAGUAUUCAUCAGAAUUUUCUAAGGCCUUAAUAUCUGCUAACUUCAUGGGGCUAACUAUACGUGAACAGAUUUAUGUUUGAAAUGAUGGAUGCCCUGUUCCAGGACGACUGUUGAGUGAUCUUUUUGAUGAGGGUAAGGAGGCUAUUGAUGAAGAAUCAAAAAAUGAAUCUCUGACACAUUUUGAGGAGUCAGAUGAACUUGGACAUGAGAUUCAAGUUUUUUUCAAGUAAGAACUUUGCUCUACAAUCCAGAAAGUUGCCUAGUGCAGAUCAUGUGAAAGAUGACAACUUUUAUGAGCUCCAGCCUGCUGAUUACUACAACUUGAUUUCAAACAGGACAGAGGUUGAAAAUAUUGUCUAGGAUCUUUCAAGUUAUUUUAAGAUGAUGACUAAUUAUUUUCAUUCCUAAUGGAACACCAUUAAUGGGCAUGAAACAUGACACACUCGUUGUGUGUCUAUGUCCAACUGAACAUUAUUAUGGUUGUGUGGUUGUGGCAGCCUCGAUAUUGUCACCUGCAUAGUGGAGGAUGAAGACGUAGCCUAGGGACCAGCUUCUACAUUUUGGGAGAUUGGCUUCUACUCCAUGCCAUGCUUACAACUUACCAAAACAAGAGUUAGUUACAUAGCCAUCCAGGGUCCAGAAUGGUCAUAUCAACAUAGUAUUUUGAAUUUACAGUUAGUUACACCGUGCUUGCAUUUUUUGUUGCUAUCCUAUGCAUACUAAACAGGUCGAGAACACGCCGUAAUUCAGGCCAAAUUCGUUGUAACGAAAAAGAUUGACAAA